rnacentral:rRNA from 1 species
GAGUAACAACGUAUCCAACCUGCCCUUUACUCGGGAUAGCCUUUCGAAAGAAAGAUUAAUACCCGAUGGCAUAAUGAUUCCGCAUGGUUUCAUUAUUAAAGGAUUCCGGUAAAGGAUGGGAUGCGUUCCAUUAGGUUGUUGGUGAGGUAACGGCCCACCAAGCCUUCGAUGGAUAGGGGUUCUGAGAGGAAGGUCCCCCCACAUUGGAACUGAGACACGGUCCAAACUCCUACGGGAGGCAGCAUG